UCUGUGUACAAAUCACCCAGGAAAUGACAGACAAAAUUGGAGAUUGGAGAAGAACAGUCAAAAUUCUGAAGAGAAAUUAAGUGGCCUUGAUGAAAAAGAAAGAAUGAAAAUCUCUCUGAGCAGAGGAAUCCUGGAAAAAGGUUGAGAAAUGCAAGAAUAUAAAUUACCUCCAGUUCCUUGAUUCCUGCUGUGUUCAUUCCAACAGGGGUUUAAAAACUCUUUCUAAAUUGAUGAUCUAUAUCAAAUGUGUAGGUUGCUCUCAAAGUAAUGCCUUCCAGUUCCUCAGAAAUACAGUAAAUAAAGUACAAUAUAUACAAAGAGCUCAAUAGCACUAUUUGACCAACCAAUUCUCAGCUGCAAAAUGCUAUUUUGCAACAUAGUCACCACCAUUAGUUGUGCAUUUUCAACAUCUUUGAACAAGAGCCUGCAUACUGCAUUCAUAGAUGCCUGCAACAACAGAGAACACACACUGUCGUCACCACUGCAGAAAGGCACCACCCACUGCCUCGCUGUGCUCACAUCCACUGUUUCAUCUCCAAAAAUGCUCAGCAAGCAUCAGUGAAUGCCCAUGGGUGCCAAUUCUUCUGCAUGAAUCGGAACCCUCCUUUGUAGGUGUUAUAUACCCUUCACCUUUAAAACAGAGCAAGAUUGAAUCGGAGGAUCAUGAGGGAUGGAAGGGACCUCUGGAGAUCACCUAAUUCAACCCCGCUGCUAAAGCAGGU
ensembl:lncRNA